rnacentral:rRNA from 1 species
AUUGGACGCUGGCGGCAGGCUUAACACAUGCAAGUCGAGCGGAGAUGAGGUGCUUGCACCUUAUCUUAGCGGCGGACGGGUGAGUAAUGCUUAGGAAUCUGCCUAUUAGUGGGGGACAACAUUCCGAAAGGAAUGCUAAUACCGCAUACGCCCUACGGGGGAAAGCAGGGGAUCUUCGGACCUUGCGCUAAUAGAUGAGCCUAAGUCGGAUUAGCUAGUUGGUGGGGUAAAGGCCUACCAAGGCGACGAUCUGGAGCGGGUCUGAGAGGAUGAUCCGCCACACUGGGACUGAGACACGGCCCAGACUCCUACGGGAGGCAGCAGUGGGGAAUAUUGGACAAUGGGCGGAAGCCUAAUCCAGCCAUGCCGCGUGUGUGAAGAAGGCCUUUUGGUUGUAAAGCACUUUAAGCGAGGAGGAGGCUACCUGGAUUAAUACUCUAGGAUAGUGGACGUUACUCGCAGAAUAAGCACCGGCUAACUCUGUGCCAGCCGCCGCGGUAAAAC